AGUGGGUGUAGCGUACCUACUAGCCUACGACGGGUACGGGUUGUGAGAGCAAGAGCCCGGAGAUGGAUUCUGAGACACGAAUCCAGGCCCUACGGGGUGCAGCAGGCGCGAAAACUUUACAAUGCUGGCAACAGCGAUAAGGGAACCUCGAGUGCCAGGUUACAAAUCUGGCUGUCGGGAUGCCUAAAAAGCAUUUCAUAGCAAGGGCCGGGCAAGACCGGUGCCAGCCGCCGCGGUAACACCGGCGGCUCGAGUGGUAACCGUUAUUAUUGGGUCUAAAGGGUCUGUAGCCGGCCGGAUAAGUCUCUUGAGAAAUCUGGCAGCUUAACUGUCAGGCUUUCAGGAGAUACUGUCUGGCUCGAGGCCGGGAGAGGUGAGAGGUACUUCAGGGGUAGGGGUGAAAUCUUGUAAUCCUUGAAGGACCACCAGUGGCGAAGGCGUCUCACCAGAACGGACCUGACGGCAAGGGACGAAAGCUAGGGGCACGAACCGGAUUAGAU
rnacentral:rRNA from 1 species